AGAGUUCGAUCCUAUCUCAGGAUGAACACUGACGGGAUACUUAACACAUGCAAAUCAGAUGGGAAACACGAGAAAUGGUGUUUCCAGUGGCGGACGGGUGAGUAACGCAUAAGAACCUGCUCUUGGCAGGGGAACAACAGCUGGAAAUGGCUGCUAAUACCCCGUAGACUGAGGAGCAAAAGGAGGAAUCCGCCCGAGGAGGGGCUCACGUCUGAUUAGCUAGUUGGUGAGGCAAUAGCUUACCAAGGAAUGAACAGUAGCUGGUCCGAGAGGAUGAUCAGCCAUACUAGGACUGAGACACGGCCCAGACUCCUACGAGAGGCAGUAGUGGGGAAUUUUAUGCAAUGAGCGAAAGCCUGACAGAGCAAUGCCGUGUAGAGGUAGAAGGCCCACGGUUCGUGCAGUUCUUUUCCCAGAGAAGAAGCCAUGAUGGUAUCUGGGGAAUAAGCAUUGGCUAACUCUGUGCCAGCAGCCGUGGUAAUACAGAGGAUGCAAGCGUUAUCUAGAAUGAUUGGGCGUAAAGCGUUUGUUGGUAUCUUUUUAAGUCCGCCUUCAAAUCUCAGGGCUCAACCCUGGAAAGGUAGUGGAAACUACCAAGCUAGAGUACGGUAGGGGGAGAGGGAAUUUAAGGUGAAGCAAUGAAAUGCGUAGAGAUUGAAAAGAACACCAAUGGUGUAAGUACUCUGCUGGGCCAACACUGACACUGAGAGAUGAAAUCUAGGGAAGCAAAUGGUAUUAGAUACCCCAGUAAUCCUAGCCGCAAACGAUGGAUACUAGGCACUGUGCGUAUUGACCGUACAUUGCUGUAGCUAACACGUUAAGUAUCCCACCUGAGGAGUAUGUUCGCAAAAAUGAAACUCAAAGGAAUUGAUGGGGGCCCGCACAAACGAUGGAGCAUGUGGUUUAAUUUGAUUCAAAGAGAAGAACCUUACUAGGGCUUGACAUGCAGUGAAUCCUCUUAAAAGAGAGGGGUGCCUUCGAGAACGCAGACACAGGUGGUGCAUGACUGUCGUCAGCUCGUGCCGUAAGAUAUUGGGUUAAGUCCCAUAAUAAGCGCAACCCUCGUGUUUAGUUGCCAUCGUUGAGUUUGGAACCCUGAACAGACUGCUGGUGAUAAGCCAGAGGAAGGUGAGGAUGACAUCAAGUCAUCAUGCCCCUUAUGCCCUAGGUGAUACACAUGCUAUAAUGGCCAGGACAAAGGGUCGCGAUCCCGCGAGGGUGAGCUAACCCCAAAAACCCAUCCUCAAUUCAGAUUGCAGGCUGCAACUCGCCUGCAUGAAGUCGAAAUCACUAGUAAUUGCCGGUCAGCCAUGCGGUGGUGAAUUUGUUCCCGGGCCUUGUACACACUUCCCGUCACCCUAUGGGAACUGGCUAUGCCCAAAUUCGUUACCUUAACCGCAAGGAAGGGGAUGCCGAAGGCAGGGCUAGUGACUGGAGUGAAGUCGUAACAAGGUAGACGUACUGGAAGGUGUGGCUG
rnacentral:rRNA from 1 species